UCACUCAUUAAUUGGUCCAUGUCUUUUAAUUUUUAUUUAUUAUUUAAGAAAUUCAUUGAAAUCUGAAAUUUAUUUUAAAAAAUUAAUAUUAAAAUAACUUAAUUAAAAAAGAAGAAAGAAAAAGAAAAUCCUAACAUCUCUUCCCAAAAUAACUCCUCCCACGCCCUUUCUAGUUCACAUUCUCUCUCUUCCAUUCUCCUUCUUCUCAGGCAAGCUGCAGUGCAGCCUCUCUCCCUCGUCGUCGGCCGAUGGAGUUCUCUCGGCGUCAAUAGUCCCAAGCUCAACAUCAUCUCUCUCUCAUCGGUUUCAAUGGUGGACCACAAUCUCUCUCUCGUCGGUCUCAAUGGUGGACCACAAUCUCUCUCUCUCGUCGGUUUCAAUGGUGGAUCUCUCUCGUCGGUUUCAAUGGUGGACCACAAAGCUAUUCCUUGAUCCACCGUCACCAUGAAGCUUGAGUUCCCUCUGCUCAAUUUCUCCCUCUCUUGUCUCCUUGCCGGAUUCAAUGGCGGAAUCGCCAUCCCCAAGCUCCUCUUGCGAGAAGACGAGAUCUACCUCAAAAAGACCAGAUUUGGAUAUGGGUUUGACUAAAUAGAAGAUUAUAGAGGAGAAAUCUGAAAUGAGGAGCAGACCAUACUGUAUUUUUUUUUUGGUUUCAAUGAGGGAGCUUGAUGAAAUGUUGCUAUUUAUUUGUGUAUAAAUCUGAGUAUAGUCUGUGUAGUUGUAAAGAAUUGGUUUGAAUGCAACAAGUUUGAAUCUGAAAUUUAUUGGCUUGUUUGUAAUUUCUGGGUUUUAUAUAUUUAUGGAUUUGUUUGGAUUUGAGAUUUUAUUUGUUUAUAUAAAUUUGUUUUCUAAA